rnacentral:rRNA from 1 species
UACGAAGGGGGCUAGCGUUGCUCGGAAUCACUGGGCGUAAAGGGUGCGUAGGCGGGUCCUUAAGUCAGGGGUGAAAUCCUGGAGCUCAACUCCAGAACUGCCUUUGAUACUGAAGAUCUUGAGUUCGGGAGAGGUGAGUGGAACUGCGAGUGUAGAGGUGAAAUUCGUAGAUAUUCGGAAGAACACCAGUGGCGAAGGCGGCUCACUGGUCCGGUACUGACGCUGAGGUGCGAAAGCGUGGGGAGCAAACAGG